CAGCAGCAGCCGCGGUAACACGUAGGGUGCGAGCGUUAAUCGGAAUUACUGGGCGUAAAGCGUGCGCAGGCGGUUAUAUAAGACAGAUGUGAAAUCCCCGGGCUCAACCUGGGACCUGCAUUUGUGACUGUAUAGCUAAAGUACGGUAGAGGGGGAUGGAAUUCCGCGUGUAGCAGUGAAAUGCGUAGAUAUGCGGAGGAACACCGAUGGCGAAGGCAAUCCCCUGGACCUGUACUGACGCUCAUGCACGAAAGCGUGGGGAGCAAACAGGAUUAGAUACCCCGGUAGUCCCUGUCUCUUAUAC
rnacentral:rRNA from 1 species